AUGGGACCGAGAUCAGGACCGGGACAGGGNNNNNNNNNNNNNNNNNNNNAUCGGGACUGGGAUCGGAAAUGGAACCAGAACCGGGAUCAGAACCGGGACUGGGAUCGGGACUGGGAUCGGGAUCAGAACCGGAACCGGGACUGGGAUCGGGACCGGAACCGGGACAGGGAUCGGGAUCGUGAUCAGAACCGGAACCGGAACCGGAACCGGGACCGGGAUCGGAACCGGAACCGGAACCGGGACAGGGACAGGGAUCGGGAUCGGGACUGGGAUCGGAACCGGAACCGGGAUCCGGACUGGGACAGGGAUCGNNNNNNNNNNNNNNNNNNNNCCGGGAUCAGGAUCGGGAUCAGGACCGGGACCGGAACCGGAACCGGGACCGGAACCGAAACCGGAACCCGAACCGGAACCGGAACCGGAACCGGAACCGAAACCGGAACCGGGACCGGAACCCGAACCGGAACCCGAACCGGAACCGAAACCGGAACCGGAACCCGAACCGGAACCGAAACCGGAACCCGAACCGGAACCGGGACCGGAACCGGGACCGGAACCGGGACAGGGACAGGGACAGGGAUCGGGAUCGGGACUGGGAUCGGAACCGGAACCGGGAUCCGGACUGGGACAGGGAUCGGGAUCGGGAUCAGGAUCAGAACCGGAACCGGGAUCGGGACUGGGAUCGGGAUCAGAACCGGAACCGGGACUGGGACAGGGAUCAGAAUCAGAACCGGGAGUGGGAUCGGGAUUAGAACCGGGAUCGGGACCGGGUCCAGGACCGGGAUAAGAUUCGGGACCAGGAUUAGGAUUGGAAUUGGUAUCAGAACCAGAACCGGGCUCAGGACCGGGACCAGGAAUGGGACCGAGAUCAGGACCGGGACAGGGAUCAGGACCGGGACCAGAACCGGGCUCAGGAUCAGAACCAGGACCAGAACCGGGACCAGAACCGGGCUCAGGACCAGAACCGGGACCAGAACCGGGUUCAGGAGCAGAAUCGGGCUCGGAGCUGGGCUCAGGACCAGAACCGGGCUCAGAACCGGGCUCAGGCCCAGGUCGGGAUUAUCCCGGGUCCGGCCCGGCCCCUCGGGGCCAGCAGGGCCAGGACCAGAACCGGGACCGGAACCGGGACAGGGAUCAGGACCGGGAUCAAAACCGGGCUCGGGACCAGAACCGGGACUAGAACUGGGCUCAGGACAAGAACCGGGCCCAGAACCGGGCUCAGAACCGGGCUCGGAGCCGGGGUCAGGACCAGAACCGGGCUCAGGACCAGAACCGGGACUAGAACUGGGUUCAGGACAAGAACCGGGCCCAGAACCGGGCUCAGAACCGGGCUCGGAGCCGGGCUCAGGAUCAGAACCGGGACCAGAACCGGGCUCAGGACCAGAACCGGGACCAGAACUGGGCUCAGGACAAGAACCGGGC
rnacentral:lncRNA from 1 species